rnacentral:rRNA from 1 species
GAUGAACGCUAGCUACAGGCUUAACACAUGCAAGUCGAGGGGCAGCAUUCUUGUAGCAAUACAAGAGAUGGCGACCGGUGCACGGGUGAGUAACACGUAUCCAACCUGCCUUCAACUCGGGGAUAGCCUUUCGAAAGAAAGAUUAAUACCCGAUGGCAUAGCAAUUCCGCAUGGUGUUGCUAUUAAAGAAUUUCGGUUGAAGAUGGGGAUGCGUUCCAUUAGAUUGUUGGCGGGGUAACGGCCCACCAAGUCGACGAUGGAUAGGGGUUCUGAGAGGAAGGUCCCCCACAUUGGAACUGAGACACGGUCCAAACUCCUACGGGAGGCAGCAGUGAGGAAUAUUGGUCAAUGGGCGAGAGCCUGAACCAGCCAAGUAGCGUGAAGGAUGACCGCCCUAUGGGUUGUAAACUUCUUUUGUGUGGGAAUAAAGUGAGCCACGUGUGGCUUUUUGUAUGUACCAUACGAAUAAGGAUCGGCUAACUCCGUGCCAGCAGCCGCGGUAA